rnacentral:rRNA from 1 species
GACGAACGCUGGCGGCGUGCUUAACACAUGCAAGUCGAACGGAAAGGCCCUGCUUUUGUGGGCUGCUCGAGUGGCGAACGGGUGAGUAACACUUGAGUUACCUGCCCUUGACUUUGGGAUAUCUUCAUGAAACUUGGUCUCAUCCCGCAUAGGAUCUCCUGCUUCAUGGUGGGGCCUGGUUAGUUUCGGCGGUUGGUGAUGGACUCGCGUCUUAUCAGCUUGUUGGUUGGGUAGUGGAUUACCAUGGCCUUGACCGGUAGCCCUGCUGAGAGGGGGAGCGGACAAACUGGGACGGAAAUAAGGCACAGACUAGUACGGGAGGCAAGGGAGGGGAAUAGUGCACAAUGGGCGGAGGCAUGAUGCAGCAACGCAGCGUGGGGGAUGACGGCAAUCGGGUAGUAAACCGAUUUCGCCUGUGACGAAGCGAGAAUGACGGUAAUGGGUAAAGAAGCACCGGCUAACUACGUG